AUGCAUAGAAUAAGUCUUAAUUCCAGUAACUUAGUCCAGUCCGAGUUGCUCCCCACACCUGAUGGUGAUGGCCUGGAGCCGGACUGUUGGGUUAGAGCCCAGCAGUUGUGUUCUGUGAGCUCAGAGUGCUCUGCCAUGUGCACUGUGUUCCCCUGCCGUGUGCACUGUCUGUGUUCCCGUGCGUGUACACUGUGUUCCCCUGCCGUGUGCACUGUGUUCCCCUGCCGUGUGCACUGUGUUCUCCUGCCAUGUGCACUGUGUUUCCCUGCCGUGUGCACUGUCUGUGUUCCCCUGCUGUGUGCACUGUGUUCCCCUGCCGUGUGCACCAUCUGUGUUCCCCUGCCGUGUGCACUGUGUUCCCCUGCCGUGUGCACUGUGUUCCUCUGCCGUGUGCACUGUCUGUGUUCCCCUGCCGUGUGCACCAUCUGUGUUCUCCUGCCGUGUGCACUGUCUGUGUUCCCCUGCCGUGUGCACCAUCUGUGUUCUCCUGCCGUGUGCUCUGUGUUCCCCUGCCGUGUGCACUGUCUGUGUUCCCCUGCCGUGUGCACUGUGUGCCCCUGCCGUGUGCACCGUCUGUGUUCCCCUGCCGUGUGCACUGUGUUCUCCUGCCAUGUGCACUGUGUUCCCCUGCCGUGUGCACUGUCUGUGUUCCCUUGCCGUGUGCACUGUGUGCCCCUGCCGUGUGCACCGUCUGUGUUCCCCUGCCAUGUGCACUGUGUGCCCCUGCCGUGUGCACCGUCUGUGUUCCCCUGCCGUGUGCACUGUGUGCCCCUGCCGUGUGCACCGUCUGUGUUCCCCUGCCGUGUGCACUGUGUGCCCCUGCCGUGUGCACUGUCUGUGUUCCCCUGCCGUGUGCACCGUCUGUGUUCCCCUGCCGUGUGCACUGUGUUCCCUUGCCGUGUGCACUGUGUCCCUGCCGUGUGCACUGUGUGCCCCUGCCGUGGGCACCAUCUGUGUUUUCCUGCCGUGUGCACUUGGCUCGUGGACUUUGCGCGUCCUGGAGUAUAG
rnacentral:lncRNA from 1 species